rnacentral:rRNA from 1 species
AUACGGAGGGUGCAAGCAUUGAUCGGAAUUACUGGGCGUAAAGGGCGCGUAGGCGGCUUGAUAAGUCAGAUGUGAAAUUCCACGGCUCAACCGUGGAGCUGCAUUUGAAACUGUCUCGCUGGAGCAUAGUUAGGGAAAACGGAAUUCCACAUGUAGCGGUGAAAUGCGUAGAUAUGUGGAGGAACACCGGUGGUGAAGACGGUUUUCUGGGCUAUAGCUGACGCUGAGGCGCGAAAGCUAGGGGAGCGAACGGGAUUAGAUACCCCAGUAGUCC